CCGUAACUAUAACGGUCCUAAGGUAGCGAAAUUCCUUGUCGGGUAAGUUCCGACCUGCACGAAUGGCGUAAUGAUGGGGGCGCUGUCUCCACCCGAGACUCAGUGAAAUCGAAAUCGCAGUGAAGAUGCUGUGUACCCGCGGCUAGACGGAAAGACCCCGUGAACCUUUACUAUAGCUUCACAGUGGACUUUGAACCUGUUUGUGUAGGAUAGCUGGGAGACUUUGAAGCAGUGACGCUAGUCAUUGUGGAGUCGUCCUUGAAAUACCAGCCUGGCAUGUUUGAGGUUCUAACCUGGGUCCCUUAUCGGGAUCGGGGACAUUGUGUGGUGGGUAGUUUGACUGGGGCGGUCUCCUCCCAAAGAGUAACGGAGGAGCACAAAGGUACCCUCAGCACGGUCGGACAUCGUGCAACGAGCGUAAAGGUAGAAGGGUGCUUGACUGCGAGACUUACAAGUCGAGCAGGUGCGAAAGCAGGUCUUAGUGAUCCGGUGGUUCUGUAUGGAAGGGCCAUCGCUCAACGGAUAAAAGGUACUCCGGGGAUAACAGGCUGAUACCGCCCAAGAGUUCAUAUCGACGGCGGUGUUUGGCACCUCGAUGUCGGCUCAUCACAUCCUGGGGCUGAAGUCGGUCCCAAGGGUAUGGCUGUUCGCCAUUUAAAGUGGUACGCGAGCUGGGUUUAGAACGUCGUGAGACAGUUCGGUCCCUAUCUGCCGUGGGCGUUGGAGAUUUGAGAGGAGCUGCUCCUAGUACGAGAGGACCGGAGUGGACGAACCUCUGGUGUUCCGGUUGUCACGCCAGUGGCAUUGCCGGGUAGCUACGUUCGGACGGGAUAACCGCUGAAAGCAUCUAAGCGGGAAGCCUCCCUCAAGAUGAGAUCUCCCUGGGAACUUGAUUCCCCUGAAGGGCCGUUGAAGACCACAACGUUGAUAGGCUGGGUGUGGAAGCGUUGUAAGGCGUGAAGCUAACCAGUACUAAUUGCCCGUGAGGCUUGACUAU
rnacentral:rRNA from 1 species